AUGCAAGGCGCACAAUCAAGAGUGCGAGAGCGCAUCGAGAACAUCUCCAUCGACAUUCGUCACUUCGAAGCAAGGAAAAGGGACUACAUCGACAAGAAGCUUUCCGCACAUAAAGAGGAGCAAGAUGCAACGAUGGAGGAGAUUAGAGCCUUGAUCAAGUCUUCUCGCCCUUCAUCAUCCUCAAGGCGGCGACAUUCAAGAAACAAGUCUUCGGAGCACGGAAACGAUGCAAGUGCAAAUCGUCCUCGUCCACAUCUACAUGGCGACCACCAUCACGUUCGUGAUCAACAUCGUCAUGAAGGGCAAGUCGCCUCCAAGAGUCAUAUGCACAAUGACGACGAACGACAUCUUCUACGAGCUCAAGCACGACACCGACAUCAUCAUCAUGAAGAUGCUCCACAAGCGCAAAUGCACAAGUCCCAACAAGCCCUACCUCACGCCAAGUCGACGCUUCAAGAGCAAAAGAGAAGACCGCGAGACGAGCACCACCAAGACAGAGAUACGGCUACAUCAACCACUUCAGCAUCUUCCCCAAGUGUUCUCAAGGCAUCUUCGCCUUUGGACGUACGGCAUCUUCGCCUACUUCCCAUGAGUUCGCCUACAUCGACAUCCUCAACAACAAGGCAACCACCUACAAGCGAGGGCGACACUUCCAUCUUCGGAAGCCCCCCAAGGAAGAUGGCCGAGCAUGGGAAACUCCCUUCGGUCAUGGAGACGAGCUACGAGGUGCCACAUCAUAUGGGCCUCCCACACCAAUACGGUGACAAGACGGUCGAGCAAGGGCCAUCCCCUUCGAAUACGGCGAUGAGCGCGAAGCUCUUCAACAACAUGAAGACGACGCCCAUAUUGGACUCAUACUCCGAGUCAAGCUACGCGACCGCACAAGGAGGCAUUUGCACCAACAUCUCUCCGAUACCCACAUAUGUUGAGAUGCCCCAAGUGCCAUGUGAGGAGAGCCACCACCACAUGAGUGACAUGCGUGACUCCACCAUAUGUGACAUUGAGAGCAUUUCGUAUGAGAGGAUGAGUGUGACCACCACUAGCCCCACACAUGAGAGCAUGCCACACAUCCUAUUGAGGUUGAGCGCCAUUUGA
rnacentral:rRNA from 1 species